UACGGAGGGAGCUAGCGUUGUUCGGAAUUACUGGGCGUAAAGCGCACGUAGGCGGCUACUCAAGUCAGCGGUGAAAGCCCAGGGCUCAACCUUGGAACUGCCUUUGAAACUAGGUAGCUAGAAUUCUGGAGAGGUCAGUGGAAUUCCGAGUGUAGAGGUGAAAUUCGUAGAUAUUCGGAAGAACACCAGUGGCGAAGGCGACUGACUGGACAGAAAUUGACGCUGAGGUGCGAAAGCGUGGGGAGCAAACAGG
rnacentral:rRNA from 1 species